rnacentral:lncRNA from 1 species
GUUAACUUCUUUUGGGCUAUUUGGUUAUACGUUCAUCUUUUUGAUUAAAAUGUGCCGUCUCGGCCCGUUUUAUCAAACCUCAAAAGUAUCAGUGACCCAAAUCUGGUACUGCCCAUUAUUGGCCAGUAUCAAACCGAGCUAAGGCCUGGUCUCGUACUCACUUUAAUUGUUUUCACUUUUCAGUAUGUAUUACAUACAUUGUGAAAUCCCUUGUUCAAUUCAAGUAUUCCUACUUGUGCCAAAAAAAAAAAAAGUCGUCUAUUUCUUAGUGUUAUAACCGUACAGUUAGAAGUAGAAAAUUAAAAAACUUGUUUUAUAGGCUCCUUAAGUCCAGGAGAAUAUUUGACUAAUUUGAUACUGUCUAUAUGAAAACUUUCUAUAGAUAAAAACUUUGAAAGGUACAUAAUUAUUUUCAGAUUGUUGCCUGUAGAUCACCCCAAUAUGGCUCAAUCACCUUUAUGUUGGAGACUGAUAUUAAUUGGAAAUGUUUGAUGAGAAUUGAAAGUUAGGCCGCCCAACAUCCAAUCAAAUUGGUGAGCAGAAA